GACGAACGCUGGCGGCGUGCUUAACACAUGCAAGUCGAACGGAAAGGCCCUGCUUUUGUGGGGUGCUCGAGUGGCGAACGGGUGAGUAACACGUGAGUAACCUGCCCUUGACUUUGGGAUAACUUCAGGAAACUGGGGCUAAUACCGGAUAGGAGCUCCUGCUGCAUGGUGGGGGUUGGAAAGUUUCGGCGGUUGGGGAUGGACUCGCGGCUUAUCCGCUUGUUGGUGGGGCAGUGGCUUACCCAGGCUUUGACGGGUAGCCGGCCUGUGAGGGUUACCGGCCACAUUGGGACUGAGAUACGGCCCAGACUCCUACGGGAGGCAGCAGUGGGGAAUAUUGCACAAUGGGCGGAAGCCUGAUGCAGCAACGCCGCGUGCGGGAUGACGGCCUUCGGGUUGUAAACCGCUUUCGCCUGUGACGAAGCGUGAGUGACGGUAAUGGGUAAAGAAGCACCGGCUAACUACGUG
rnacentral:rRNA from 1 species